GCAGGAUGGGAGUUUCAGGAUGCUUCUGCACAACAAAACUCACAUCCCUUUAGCAAACAAAUUCUAUUUGAUCCUUGUACUGUUGUUGUGGUUGAUAUUACUUCAUUGUGUCAUGGAGAUAAUGCUCUGGCACUGGGCUGCCCUGGGAGGGAGAGAGCCUCGAGUGGGAAAGCUCAUUCCCUUGAAGCGAAGAAAUUAAGCUGCAGCAUUUUUUUGCUCAGAUGCCUGGAAGGUUUUAGAGGAAAAUAUAUCACCAUAUUAAGUAGCAGACAAAGCAGAAGAGGAGAGCCUAUCAAAUGAAGCAAGACAGAACUCCAUUAUGUCCCAAGUGGAAGUGGUCUUCAGAGCGUAUUCAGAGAGAAGUCAUGGACAGAGUUUUCCCUUUAUUCCAUGCAGUAGUAAAGAGUGAACAGAAUUUGGGAAGUGUAACUAGAGAAGGUUGCAUGCAGCUGAACCUUUUUUCAUUUGUUUUAAUAAUUUUUCCUGGCUAUGCUCCUACAAAUAACAGGGGUUUAUUUCAAGAAGUUGGAUUUAAAUAAUUUACCUGUCCUUGUGAGGCAGAUGAAGAUUGGGGUGUAUUUCUGCCUCUUAAAAGGUGUGUUCAUGCAGACAUCAAUGCAGAGACCAAAAAUUUCAUUAAAUGAAUGAAAUCCUAUGCAAUACUGAAUAGAAGCACUACUUUGUAUGCUUUCUGCUUCUCUCUUUGUGCUAAGAGACUUUCUUUACUGGAUAUUCUUCUAGCCUAACUGCUUGCUAUACACAAUCUUUACCUUUUUUCCCCUUAAUAUAAAUCAACUAUCUUUACUAAAAAUGAAAAUGUAAUAACAUGUUAUAGAUUCAGAUGAAUCAAUAGCUGUAAUGGUUUGGAAGAGAGUUUUGCCCAGUUGAUUAAUUUGGAUUAUCAAAUUCUGGAGACAUAGACUGCAGUUCAUGGAUUUUAUGAUGCCCAAGAUGGCUUUGCCUUCAUCCAGGAGGUAACUGACGAUACCUAAUUAAUGACAAAUGUUUCAAACACAUACUUGCUGUAGCUACUAUAGUCUUUUAGCUGAACUCAGCAAUUUAUCUUUUUUCCUGGCUCAUUAAACUCUAUUUUGAGCUCAAAUAAUAUACAGCUAAUGAUCAUGUCUUUAAGAGUAUUUGCAAAUCAGUCACCUCUGCCCUGGAAUUAGUUCUUAAAAAGUCUAAAAAUCUACAAUAGAGUAAAACAGAGUGCAUAUCAAUCCUUCAGGGCCUGUAUCAUUUGAAGGUUGGGGGGAUAUUUUCUCCUUUCUCUCAAUGAGAUCUCUUGGUAUAGGAGCUCUUCUCUCCUCCUGCUAAUCUGCAUGUGCAAUGUACAAAAUCCAGUCUCAACUACGUUUUCAGGUUGUAUUUAUAAAUUUUAUAGCUAGAUUCUGGGUGUCAACUGUUUCUGCUCAGAGGAGCAUUUGCCAUGAUAAAGGAGCCCCCAGUGGGACAACACACAGUUAUUCCUAAUGUAUCCAUCAGCAAAUUAUCUAGGCAGUAGUCACAAAAUUGAGAUUGGGUAGUAAAAGUAAUUGAUUUUUUUUCACUAUAGGAGCUAGUUCAGAAGUUACAAAAAAGUCUUAAUUUAGAGUGAGUGGAAAUAGAAGUGUUGGGGGUUUUUUUUCUCAGAAUGCAAAAAGGGCAUUCAGCUGUGUGUGGCAUCACGGUUCAAACCCAAAGCAGGCCUGCAUAAAGGACUACUUCUUCCAUCUCCCAGG